rnacentral:sRNA from 1 species
ACGGGGAAGGAUGAGAAGCUUCGACUAAGGUUCGAUUCGAGCGAAAGCGAGAAAGCGUUGCCAACGGCAACGACCCGAAGGGCGAAGCGCGCAGCGCUGAGUCAUCCUUCCCCCACCACCA